CCAAUUCUCCAUAAGCCUGCAAUUCUUCAUUCUUGACAUCACCAGCACUAUACCCACCAGAUGGAACAUCAGGGUGUCCUUCAUUUGGUCCAGUUAACCCCUUCUUUUUACCAUAUUUCUUGUAAGAAGAUUUCUUUCCAUACUCCUUGCUCUUUUUGGGAGAUUUGCCAACUAAACCUUUAAGAGAAAACUUCAAAGAUCGACUAUGUUCAUUUUUUACUACAGGAAUACUAUCUUCAUCAUCUGAAAAGGGUGAAAUAGAAAAUAUUUCAUCUUCAACU
rnacentral:misc_RNA from 1 species